rnacentral:lncRNA from 1 species
GAAAAGUCACUUUUCCCCUCACAUACAACCUAGUUGCCAAACAUCAUUUUGGAGCUUAUAACUUUUCAAAAAGCCAAAUCAAGUUGUUUCAAAAAGCUUAGCCAAACAUGACCCUAGAACCCUAACUUGAAUCGCUUCAAUAUCUCGUUCCCUUCAAGCCUAUACAAUAUGUUCCAUCGUUCUCCGUUUACACCAAUCGAAUUGGUUCAGGGAACUCGCUAAAGUGGUUUGGUAACAACAGAGGUGAUUUCAAUAUGCAGGUAUUAUUCUUGACCUAACGUUUUGAUUUGAUUAACAUGCAUAUGGAUACUUCGUUUUGGUCUUUUUCCCAGAGAGGACACGUUAAAAUAUCUAAAGCAUAAGAGGCUACAAUGGAUGAAAUCUGGCACUGUGAAAAAUGCUGCAUUUGUGUCUAACCUAAUUACUCGAAGUGGAGGAGAUGCAUUAUGAGGUUCUACAUCUUGGGCUGAUGGAUAAUUCAACAAUCUGGAUUAUGUUGGAGAUAUAAUAUGUCAAAACCCACGAUUGAAAAGUUUGAUUCAAAUUAUCUUGAUUGGACAGAUAAGGUUCCAAAGUGCCCUAUAUACUUUCCAAGUAAAGAAGAGUUUGAGGAUCCUUUGGUUUAUAUGCAAAAGACAACUUUAGAAGCUUCAAGAUUUGGUAUAUGCAAGAUUGUUUCGCCUUUGAGUGUUCAUUGGUAUAGUGUUGACAAGAGAGAAAGUUGGUUUUAUGUUUACUACAAGAGUGCAACCUCGUCGUCUUGCUGAGUGGAAUACCAAUGAUAAAGUCACCUUCUUCAUGAGUGGAAGGAUUGUUUUCGAAGCCCUAGAUAUCGCAUACAUCUUCCUUCUGGUUGAAGCCUCUUAAAUCCAAACAUUCAAGCAUCAGGGUUUUGAAAAGUGACUGACUGAACACUUCCUAAUUAUGGUUGGAGAGAUGAAUUAAAAAGUCCGGUUAGUGAAGUGCCCAAAAUGCCUGAAUGUUCUGCCAGAGCUGCCAGAUAUUCCGGUGUACGCAUGUGGAGGCUGCGGUACAAGACUUCAAGCAAAGAAGCGGAAUAAAAGUAUCGUCGACACCACAUCACAGAGGCCAGAUGAGGGUUCUUCGGGAAAACAGAAAGUGGACAGCGUUUUUAUUGAUCAAGAAGCUUGCAGCAGCUCGAAUCAACAAUCUCUGCUUAGUUCCAUUGAUGAGUCAGUUCAAAAUGGUGAUCAUAAUGAUCUUAAUUGCUCAAUUAAAGAUCAAGAUGCAGCUGAUAGAGCUGAAAAUGGUACAGUUCCACCACCGACUGUUGUUGUAGAUUGUUCAUCUGAAAAAUUGAAACUGAAGCAAGUUUCUGAUAAUCAAGAACCCUGUUGUAGCUCAAAUCAGCAGUUAGUAGUAAGUUCGAGCGAUGAGCCGGAUCAAAACAUUCAUAAUGAUCCUCGUAGCUCGACUGAGUUUUCGGGUAAUGAAGAUCCACAGUCGUCGCCUGAAGCCAUAACUCAUAAGGGAAUCAAUCAACAACAAGAACAAAUACAAGAACAUGAACAAGAACGCGUUACAGUUGUUGGAGUCGAGCAUUCCUCAGGUAAACAGAAAAUCGAGCAGCUUUCUGCUGAUAAUGAAUCUGGUAACAGAUUUACACAACUAUUGUUGGUUGAUCCAAUGAAUGAGCUAGACCAAAACAAUGAUUGUACUGAACAUCGUAACUCGUCUGAAGAAAAUCAACAAGAAUAUAUCAGAAUAGAUCAACAACAAGAACAUGAACAAAAUCAAAGGCGUUCUCAAGAUGCAGGUAAGCAGCAAGAAAACGUUACAGUUGAUGAACUCGAGCAUUCCUCUGCGAAACAGAAAACCGAGGAGCUUUCUGAUAAGAAUGAAACUGGUAACAGAUUUGCACACCUAUUGUUGGUUAAUCCAAGGUAUGAGCUAGAACGAAACAACGACCAUAAUGAAGAUCGUAGCUCAUCUGAGCUUUCAUAUCAUGACGAGCCAGAGUCAUCACCGGAAGCCACAGUUCAUGACAGAGUCAAAUGAAAAGUGACUGAAUUCGUAAGCUGUAAAAAAGAGUUUGGUGUUAAAGAAAGCAGUAAUGAAUUUGAAAAAACUAUCGCUGAUACGAGAAACUAUCCAAACAUUCAAGCAUCAGGUACAAACAUCUCAUAAGAAAAUCUGUUGCAGUUUGAAGGUCUAUUGUAAAUUUCACAAACAUCUCAUACGAAGAUUUCUCAGGUACUUUCAUUUGUUUGGGUCAACUCCAUUCCAAUUCAUCGUUAUUGGGUUGUUUACACUUUACAUAUGUAGCACCUAUUAUACUGCAGGAGAACUAUUGCAUUCUAUUCUAUUUAUAAAAUUUGUUUCGAAGAAUUAGCGUUUGAAGAACUUUUGAUUGUUAUUGAGGCGAGGAUCGGUAUUGUGAAAUCAUUAUAUUUCCUGCCAUCAAUAAUGCACUGGCUUAAGUCUUUAAUGUUGGCUAGCCAGCUUCGGGAAGAGAUCGCUGGCCACAUGACUGACAUACACGUCUCAAUCUCACUGGUACCCUGCUUAUCUUCAUGCUCCCAUGAUCAGUUCUCCAAACCUUCCUCCGAACAUUUCCGUCGUUAUUCCAUGAGCAGGAAGAUAUUCUCCAUGCCAGUGUUCGUAUAAAUCCAGUUUGGCCCUGUUGGGGAAGACAAAAAUAGUGGUGAAGUGUGUAGACUUUUUGAUGUUGGAGGCCAAGGAAACGAGAGGAAAUGGAUUCAUUUAUUUGAAGGUGCUAGAGCUGUCAUAGUUUGUGUUGCUAUUAGCGAGUAAGAUUAAUUAAACCAGAUGUAUUUGAUAAUAUAAACAUCUCCAUUUAUCUAUUGUGUUCAUGGUUGCAAGUCAUAGAGAUGGCAAAAUGUAUGGGUGUAUCUGUAGACAUGAGGGUACAAAAGGCUUCUGUUGGUUGUGUAUUUUCAUCGUAGACAUUGUUUGCUGGUUUCUUAAGACGAUCAUCUCAGCAUUCAUACAUCUUUAUAUGAUAUUAUUACAAAAAUUAAAGACAAAUGUAUAAUUUAUGAUGUCACAUAUCCAGUAUAACAGCAAUAAUAGGGGACACUAUGUUGUAUUUAUAGACUUGUGAAUUACAAGGCGAAGAGGGGGAUUGGAGUUUGCGGCAGCGUUUCGGGUUAGGUUUCGGGGCUGAAUCGAGAUGUAUGAAUGGUGGGUC